rnacentral:rRNA from 1 species
GACGAACGCUGGCGGCGUGCUUAACACAUGCAAGUCGAACGGAAAGGCCCUGCUUUUGUGGGGUGCUCGAGUGGCGAACGGGUGAGUAACACGUGAGUAACCUGCCCUUGACUUUGGGAUAACUUCAGGAAACUGGGGCUAAUACCGGAUAGGAGCUCCUGCUGCAUGGUGGGGGUUGGAAAGUUUCGGCGGUUGGGGAUGGACUCGCGGCUUAUCAGCUUGUUGGUGGGGUAGUGGCUUACCAAGGCUUUGACGGGUAGCCGGCCUGAGAGGGUGACCGGCCACAUUGGGACUGAGGUACGGCCCAGACUCCUACGGGAGGCAGCGGUGGGGAAUAUUGCACAAUGGGCGGGAGCCUGAUGCAGCAACGCCGCGUGCGGGAUGACGGCCUUCGGGUUGUAAACCGCUUUCGCCUGUGACGAAGCGUGAGUGACGGUAAUGGGUAAAGAAGCACCGGCUAACUAUGUG